rnacentral:rRNA from 1 species
UACGAAGGGGGCUAGCGUUGUUCGGAAUCACUGGGCGUAAAGCGCACGCAGGCGGAUUGAUAAGUCGGGGGUGAAAUCCCGGGGCUCAACCUUGGAAUUGCCUUCGAUACUGUCUGUCUUGAGUCCGGGAGAGGUGAGUGGAAUUCCUAGUGUAGAGGUGAAAUUCGUAGAUAUCUGGAGGAACACCGGUGGCGAAGGCGGCAUCCUGGACCAACACUGACACUGAGGAGCGAAAGCCAGGGGAGCAAACGGG